CGUAGGCGGUUUGCACAGUCAGGCGUGAAAUUCCCGGGCUCAACCUGGGGGCUGCGCUUGAUACAUGCAGACUUGAGUGGGGAAGAGGGUCGUGGAAUUCCCAGUGUAGAGGUGAAAUUCGUAGAUAUUGGGAAGAACACCGGUGGCGAAGGCGGCGACCUGGUCCUUAACUGACGCUGAGGCGCGAAAGCGUGGGAGCAAACAGGAUUAGAUACCCUGGUAGUCCACGCCGUAAACGAUGUGCGCUGGAUGUUGGAUGACCUAGUCAUUCAGUGUCGUAGCUAACGCGAUAAGCGCACCGCCUGGGGAGUACGGCCGCAAGGUUGAAA
rnacentral:rRNA from 1 species